GGGUAUAGCUCAGUUGGUAGAGCGGCGGUCUCCAAAACCGCAGGUCGCGGGUUCGAACCCUGCUGCCC
rnacentral:tRNA from 2 species